rnacentral:misc_RNA from 1 species
GAUCAGAGAGUAUGAUUCAAAGAGAUUGUUGAAAGAGCAUUUCAAGAGACUUGGAGGUUAUGAUUUGGCUAUCAAAUCUGCACAGGUGACAGAGUCUACUGACAUCAAUGAGCUAGCAGAGAAGGAGCCUUGGCUCAACUCAACAAAGUUGGUUGUAAAGCCUGAUAUGUUGUUUGGCAAGCGUGGAAAGAGUGGACUAGUCGCCUUGAAUCUUGAUCUUGCUCAAGUUGCUACUUUUGUGAAGGAGCGUCUUGGCAAAGAGGUGGAGAUGGGCGGAUGCAAAGGUCCCAUCACAACCUUCAUUGUUGAGCCAUUCAUCCCCCACAAUGAAGAGUUUUAUCUUAAUAUUGUCUCGGAUAGGCUUGGUUGCAGCGUAAGCUUUUCUGAAUGCGGAGGAAUUGACAUCGAAGAGAACUGGGACAAGGUUAAGACCAUCUCUGUGCCGACUGGGACUUCUUUUACAUCAGAGAUAUGUGCUCCACUUGUAGCCACUCUACCAUUGGAGAUUAAGGGUGUCAUUGAGGAGUUCCUCAAAGUGAUUUACGCUCUAUUUCAAGAUCUCGACUUCACUUUCCUAGAGAUGAACCCUUUCGCAUUGGUUGAAGGGAAGCCUUAUCCUCUCGAUAUGAGGGGAGAGCUUGAUGACACUGCUGCUUUCAAGAA